rnacentral:misc_RNA from 1 species
CAAUUUUUGGGGUAUAUAAACGCCUUGUUGAACUAGAUCAUCUACCUCAGGAGGAGAAGGCUAUACUUAAUUCACUGCAGAGUGGAACUAGACUUGUGGCUUGUUAUGUUCUCUAUUCAUCAGCCACAAUACUCUGUGCCAGUUUUGGUUCUGGAACACAUGCAUUUACACUGGAUCAUUCAACAGGAGACUUCAUUCUUACUCACCCAGGC